UACGAAGGGGGCUAGCGUUGCUCGGAAUUACUGGGCGUAAAGCGCACGUAGGCGGCUUUCUAAGUCGGGGGUGAAAUCCUGGAGCUCAACUCCAGAACUGCCUUUGAUACUGAGAGGCUUGAGUCCGGGAGAGGUGAGUGGAACUGCGAGUGUAGAGGUGAAAUUCGUAGAUAUUCGCAAGAACACCAGUGGCGAAGGCGGCUCACUGGCCCGGUACUGACGCUGAGGUGCGAAAGCGUGGGGAGCAAACAGG
rnacentral:rRNA from 1 species